UACCUAACAUUAUACAAUAAGCAAAAGCUUGAUAUAGUUAUAGACUUAAGAGUUGGUUAAUUAGUGCCAGCCACCGCGGUUAUACAUAAAACUCAAACCAAGAAAACCAUGGGUAUAAAGGUGACUAGAGAUAAACUCAUUUAGGGUAGAAAAAAACUUCAGUAUUAACAAGCUUCUACAGUAAACUAAUUACAACUACAAUGUCACCCUAAACUCUUUCAACUCAAGACACCAAAGCUCAAAAAUAAACUGGGAUUAGAUACCCCACUAUAUGAGCCGUAAAAAAUCAACAACACCAGAGAACUACGAAUUAAAGUUUAAAACUCAAAGGACUUGGCG
rnacentral:rRNA from 1 species